UCAAAAUUGAAAAGAUAGAUAAAAUAAAAACUUCACGUGUCUUUAAAAAUGACCAGAGCCAAUCAGAAGGCAGGCCUGGGAGUUGGCUCGGAUUCAUAACGCGGCUGAAUACGGAAAGAACCGAACUGGAGACUCCGUGUGAGAGCAGAACGUCAAGACGUAAAGAUUCCGGAAAUGAAGGUGUUCAUUCCUUCCUUAUUUACAAACCAUUUUGUGUGGUGCAGUACCUGUGGAGGUUUAAGAACCCAAAUCAACAAUGGCAGA